rnacentral:rRNA from 1 species
UACGUAGGGUCCGAGCGUUGUCCGGAAUUAUUGGGCGUAAAGAGCUCGUAGGCGGUUCAGUAAGUCAGGUGUGAAAGCUCCGAGCUCAACUCGGAGAGGCCACCUGAUACUGCUGUGACUAGAAUCCAGUAGGGGAGUGUGGAACUCCUGGUGUAGCGGUGAAAUGCGCAGAUAUCAGGAAGAACACCAGCGGCGAAGGCGGCGUUCUGGACUGCAACUGACACUGAGGAACGAAAGCCAGGGGAGCAAACGGG